GUACAGCAGCGAGUCGGAGCAGAUUCCUAAUCUGGGGGUCGCGCGUUCGAAUCGCGCCGGGAUCACCA
rnacentral:tRNA from 2 species